rnacentral:tRNA from 1 species
GCUCUAAUAGCUUAAACACAAAGCAUUGUUCUUGUAAACCAAAUCUGGGUUAAACCUAUUGAGCA